AUGAAGCUGAGGUGCCCCAACCCCAAGAGGCUCUUCAGGAGGAGCUCCUCCAAGAUCAGCAGGUCUAGUAGCAGCUGCAGCAGCAGGAGCAGCAGCGACAACGGCAGCGAUGCCUCCGGUGGCAUCCGUGGUGGCGGCGGCAGCGGAGAGAUCGAGUGGGAGGUGCGGCCGGGGGGCAUGCUGGUGCAGAGGAGGGACGGGAGGGGGGACGUCGAGAUCAUCACCGUCAGGGUGGCCACCGGCUACUCCUGGCACGAGGUCUCCAUUGGAGCCACCUGCACCUUUGGUGAGCUGAAGGUGGUAGUGUCCAUGGUAACGGGGCUGGAGCCGAGGGAGCAGAGGCUGCUCUUCAGGGGCAAGGAGAAGGAGCACAGCGACCACCUCCACAUGGUUGGGGUGAGGGACAAGGAUAAGGUGCUGCUCCUCGAGGACCCUGCCCUCAAGGACAUGAAGCUCCGUGCCGCGCUUGCGGGCCGGGCUGUGCAGAGCCCGUAUCAUACUUUUAUCAAGGUGUAG
rnacentral:rRNA from 1 species